GGGGAAGAGCAGCACAUUUGCAUGCAGGGCCCCUCUCUCUCCUCUGGGGCUGGAGGGGGGAUAAGAGAGACCUGCAGCGUGUCUGCCUCAGCAGAGCUCUGGGGUGUCUGCACCAUGGCCUGGACCCCACUCCUCCUCCUCAGCCUCCUCCUUCAGUGCACAGGGUCCCUCUCCCAGCCUGUGCUGACUCAGCCGCCCUCUGCAUCUGCCUCCCUGGGAGCCUCGGUCAAGCUCACCUGCACCCUGAGCAGUGGGCACAGCAGCUAUGACAUGUAUUGGUAUCAGCAACAGCCAGGGAAGGCCCCUCGGUACUUGAUGUAUGUUACCAGUUCUGGAAGCUCCUACAAGGGGGACGGGGUCCCUGACCGCUUCUCUGGCUCCGGCUCUGGGGCUGACCACUACUUGAACAUCUCCAACCUCCAGUCUGAGGACGAAGCUGAUUAUUACUGUCAGAGCUAUGACAGCAGUGGUAUUGCUCACAGUGACACAGGGAGAUGA